rnacentral:rRNA from 1 species
AGAGUUUGAUCAUGGCUCAGAUUGAACGCUGGCGGUAUGCUUAACACAUGCAAGUCGAACGGUAACGAAGCUAGCUUGCUAGCAGGCGACGAGUGGCGGACGGGUGAGUAACGCGUAGGAAUCUACCUGAUAGUGGGGGAUAGCCCGAAGAAAUUCGGAUUAAUACCGCAUAAUCUAUUCGUAGUAAAGGAGGCCUCUAUUUAUAUGCUUUCGCUAUCAGAUGAGCCUGCGUAAGAUUAGCUUGUUGGUGAGGUAAAAGCUCACCAAGGCGACGAUCUUUAGCUGGUCUGAGAGGAUGAUCAGCCACAUCGGGACUGAGACACGGCCCGAACUCCUACGGGAGGCAGCAGUGGGGAAUAUUGGACAAUGGGCGCAAGCCUGAUCCAGCAAUACCGCGUGUGUGAAGAAGGCCUCAGGGUUGUAAAGCACUUUUAUUUGGGAAGAAGGUCACUACGUUAAUAGCGAAGUGAAUUGACGGUACCAACUGAAUAAGCACCGGCUAACUCCGUGCCAGCAGCCGCGGUAAUACAGAGGGUGCAAGCGUUAAUCGGAAUUACUGGGCGUAAAGCGUACGUAGGCGGCUUAUUAAGUCGGAUGUGAAAGCCCUGGGCUUAACCUGGGAACUGCAUUCGAUACUGGUGAGCUAGAGUGUGAUAGGGGGAGAUGGAAUUAGUGGUGUAGGGGUAAAAUCCGUAGAUAUCACUAGGAAUACCUAAAGCGAAGGCGAUCUCCUGGAACAUUACUGACGCUAAGGUGUGAAAGCGUGGGGAGCAAACGGGAUUAGAUCCCCCGGUAGUCCACGCCCUAAACGAUGUUCACUAGUCGUCGGGAUGCUAGUCAUCUCGGUGAUGCACUUAACAGAUUAAGUGAACCGCCUGGGGAGUACGGUCGCAAGAUUAAAACUCAAAGGAAUAGACGGGGACCCGCACAAGUGGUGGAGCAUGUGGUUUAAUUCGAAAAUACGCGAAGAACCUUACCUAGCCUUGACAUUGAUUGAACGGACCAGAGAUGGACCGGUGCCCUUCGGGGAGCAUGAAAACAGGUGCUGCACGGCUGUCGUCAGCUCGUGUCGUGAGAUGUUGGGUUAAGUCCCGCAACGAGCGCAACCCUCGUCCUUAUUUGCCAGCGCGUUAUGGCGGAACUCUAAGGAGACUGUCGGUGAUAAACCGGAGGAAGGUGGGGACGACGUCAAGUCAUCAUGGCCCUUACGGGAUGGGCUACACACGUGCUACAAUGGCAGGUACAGAGGGCAGCAAAACCGCGAGGUUGAGCGAAUCCCACAAAGCUUGUCGUAGUCCGGAUCGGAGUCUGUAAUUCGACUCCGUGAAGUCGGAAUCGCUAGUAAUCGUAGAUCAGAAUGCUACGGUGAAUACGUUCCCGGGCCUUGUACACACCGCCCGUCACACCAUGGGAGUGGGAUGCAAAAGAAGUGGCUAGUCUAACCUUUGGGAGGACGGUCACCACUUUGUGUUUCAUGACUGGGGUGAAGUCGUAACAAGGUAACC